rnacentral:rRNA from 1 species
UACAGAGGGGGCAAGCGUUGUUCGGAAUUACUGGGCGUAAAGGGCGCGUAGGCGGCCGCCUAAGUCAGACGUGAAAUCCCUCGGCUCAACCGGGGAACUGCGUCUGAUACUGGGUGGCUUGAAUCCGGGAGAGGGAUGCGGAAUUCCAGGUGUAGCGGUGAAAUGCGUAGAUAUCUGGAGGAACACCGGUGGCGAAGGCGGCAUCCUGGGCCUGGCCUGACGCUGAGGCGCGAAAGCGUGGGGAGCAAUCCGG